AACGUAGGUGGCAAGCGUUAUCCGGAUUUACUGGGCGUAAAGCGUGUGCAGGCGGUCUUAUAAGUGGUGUAUGAAAUCUCCGCGCUUAACGUGGAGGGGUUAUGCCAGACUGUAGGACUCGAACCCAUCAGAGGGACGUGGAAUUCCGGGUGUAGUGGUGAAAUGCGUAGAGAUCCGGAGGAACACCAGAGGCGAAAAGCGGCGUCCUGGGGUGAGGUUGACGCUCAGACACGGAAAGCAUGGGGGAGCGAACGGG
rnacentral:rRNA from 1 species